AGAUGACCUCCCGCAGACCAGCUCCUCUCAUUCAGACCUUGGCCAGCUGCCCUCACAAGGCAUGUAUGAGAGUACUGUUUUCCUUGGAGCUCAUGAGGAGGAAUCAGGAGGAUGCAGUGUGCCCACCACCCCACUACAGAUGGUCUCUCCUGGAAUUUACAAAUCCAUGCAUCCUAAUAGUAAAAAUAAUUUUCUAAUUAUCUUGGAAAAGUCCAGGAUUAUGCAGUGGCCACUUUUUGUGCAUUUUUAAUUUACUGAGAAUUCAAUCGCUCCUUCAAAAUGGCAAACACAGAGGGAUGUAAAGCUAUAUCAAAAUAGUUUUUUAGUAUCCGAUUAUAUACCUAAUUCUCUUCACUCUACCAUUUUCCAGUCAGUUAUCUCAUUAUCUUUUUUCUAAUACAUUCAGUGACAGUUUUAUCAGAGACUAUGGCAUUUGAAGCAGUUGAGCUUGCUUCUUAGUCUGUGCCCAUGGUGAGCACCUCCACACCCGGCCUUAGUGCUUCUGCAGGCCCUAGUGGAGUGGAGGAUAGACACAACAUGUUCAUGGAUGCUGGAGACGGUGCUAAAGCUUCACUUGAGGCUGUGUCACAGACUGAGGCGGAGGAACCAGCCAAUCCUUCAGGUUUAGGCCAGUCUGCCUUCCACAAGCCAUGAACAUGCAUGUAGUUCUGCAGACACAAGCAGCUCUCAGCCUCCUAAAGUUCGACCGGGAUCUGGGAGACAAUGAAGUGGUGGUCGUGGUUCAAGGGGCUUUGUAAAGAGAGCAGUUCUGAAGAAACACAUUCUGAAUGAAUGGCACCAGAAGAACACAGCCAUACCUUUGUUCUACUUUAAGACUUCAGUCAAUGUACAGUAUUAUAAUUUUUGCUUGUUCGUUUAAUGCUCUGAGCAAUCCAUCAAUG